rnacentral:lncRNA from 1 species
AAGAGAGGCAGCUGUGAGCACCUAAUUUUUGACUAUAUUUAGAAUUUUUCAACACUUUUUAGUUGUAAAUAAUUUUAAGUUUAUUCUACAUAUUUUAACCUUUAUUUCACUUAUUUUAGUAGGUUUAUUUGAUAAAAUUUAAAUCAUAUAAAAAGAGACAUUUUUAGAUAUUAGUUGUGUUUUAUUUGCAAAAAGAAAAGAAAAUUUAUAAAAAAUAUAUGUUUCUUCUAAUUUGAUAAGACUAAUAAUUUUAUAACUUUUCUUAGUAGUUUCUUAUAUUUUAUCUAGUUUAAAAUAUUAGUGUAGUAAUUUAAAUUUUAAAUUAUCUUAAAAAAAGAUUAAAAAAAAGGAAGCCAAUGGAAAAUUGUCACAUGGCAAAAGAUUCUCUCUUAUCAUCAUGUGAUAACUAAUUAACGUGCACUUUCCUACAAAUAACACCGACCCAAGACAAACACACAAAAAAAGGGGGAGGAUGCGGAGACGGAAAAACAGAGAGGGGCAGUGGAGGAGUCUCUUUUGUCACAAAAAAGAAAUCAUCAUCAAUGCCUCUCCCUCUCUUUAGAUCUGCUCGAUCUUCAUUCUCUCAAGCUCCACACCCAAUUGCUUAAGCUCCAGCACCACACAAUUAAAAAGAAGAUAAAAACAAAAAACAAAAAGAGAAAAAGAAUCGAGAGAGUUAGAAAACAGAGGAAAGAAGAGAAUCAUCUUCUUUCUCAAAAAUUGAAAAGACACAAGAGAACAAAGAAAAAUAAAUCUGGGAAGGAAUUCAUCCAAAAAAAAAAGCGCGUCCUUCUUCUUCAUAAAUAGAUCCAACCAGAUUUUUUAGGGAUAUAGAUUCUUUGCGCAAACGAGGUUUACGGCGAGGUUUCGAGUCACCGGCGAGAGUUAGAAAACAGAGGAAAGAAGAGAAUCAUCUCCUUUCUCAAAAAUUGAAAAGACACAAGAGAACAAAGAAAAAUAAAUCUGGGAAGGAAUUCAUCCAAAAAAAAAGCGCGUCCUUCUUCU